rnacentral:lncRNA from 1 species
ACCCUUUUAUACCAUCUUUUGUAUUUUGAUGGUUAUAGAUGUUUAAAUGAAAGAAUAUGAACGAUGUAAAAGAAUUUAUGGUUUAAUGUUAAAGGCUUAGCUUUGGAGAAAGUACAUUAUGUUCAUUUUGGUGAUAUUGUAAUGUAUAAAAGAAAUGAUGCAAAGAAUGUAAACAAUUUUAUUAAAGUUGUGUGCAUGUAUAUGAUUUAAAGUUAAU